GGUUUUUGGCGUUAGGUUUAAAAUCACUGUCCAAAACCUUUGUAGGAACUCUUUUCCAACCUUUUGGAGUUAGUUAAACAAAAAAAAAAAUGAAAAAUGAAAAAAAAAUAUUUGGGGUUUUCAGGCUUCCUAAAAGUAAUAACCGGGUAUUAGGUUUUGGGGCUAUGGUAAGGUUAAAGGUUUUUGGCAUUAGGGUUAAAAUCACUGUCCAAAGCCCUUGUAGGAACUCUUUUCCAACCUUUUGGAGUUGGUUACACCAACAAAAAUUUAAAAUGAAGAAAAAAAAUAUUUUGGGUUUUCUGGCUUCCUGAAUGGAAUACCCGGGUAUUAUGUUUUGGGGCUAGGGAAAGGUUUAAGGUUUUUGGCGUUAGGGUUAAAAUCACUGUCCAAAAACUUUGUAGGAACUCUUU